GACGAACGCUGGCGGCGUGCCUAAUACAUGCAAGUCGAACGAACGGAUAAAGAGCUUGCUCUUUUGAAGUUAGUGGCGACGGGUGAGUAACACGUGGGUAACCUGCCUCACAGCUGGGGAUAACAUCGAGAAAUCGAUGCUAAUACCGAAUGUGCUGAACAUCAUAAGAUGUUCAAGUGAAAGACGGUUUCGGCUGUCACUGUGAGAUGGACCCGCGCUGGAUUAGCUAGUUGGUAAGGUAAUGGCUUACCAAGGCGACGAUCCAUAGCCGACCUGAGAGGGUGAUCGGCCACAUUGGGACUGAGACACGGCCCAAACUCCUACGGGA
rnacentral:rRNA from 1 species